GAGGUGCGCGCGCAGCGUGGGAGGAGGCCAACUCUCGGGGCGCUCCCUAGCCCUGGGUGGGUGGAGCGGGGGAAGCGGAGUACGUUGGACCCGGCUCCGCCCUACCCCACGGGGCCGCCUGGAGAGGUGCUGGGAGCUGGGUGGAGCUUAGAGGAAUUAAACUUUGGCCCUGCGCCUCGUCCAGCCUAGGUUCCACCCUUUUCUGGGAACUUUACACCCCGCCACUCCUGAGCACCGCACACCGGCUUCCUCCCAGUCCCUCAUCUGAGAACUCAUGAAGCCACUUGGAAUCCCUCUCUGCUUUGCCUGGCUCAUUCCAUGUCAAUUUCAGAUCUUCACUUCAGGUCAGCUCCAAGGAGGCUAUCCUUGCCCAUCUUCCUAAAAUAGAGCUCUCAAAACCUGGCUGUUUUCCUUCAGAGCACUGGCCUCCAAUUGCUCCGGUAGAUUGCAAAUGACCUGCUUUCUUUCUGUUCCCGGGCGUUUGGACCCCUGUCUUGGACCGCUGUCGGAUAGUAAAUCCCAAGUAAGGUACCUGCCGUCGGCAGAUUUGAGCUUUCUUCUUGGACACCUAAUACCCAGAGUCCUCCAGGCUCCGGUAGAUUGCAAAUGACCUGCUUUCUUUCUGUUCCCGGGCGGCAUCGGACCCGUCGGAGAGUAAAUCCCAAGUAAGGUACCUGCCGUUGGCAGAUUUGAGCUUUCUUCUUGGACACCUAAUACCCACAGUCCUCCAGGCUCCGGUAGAUUGCAAAUGACCUGCUUUCUUUCUGUUCCCGGGUGGCAUCGACCCGUCGGAGAGUAAAUCCCAAGUAAGGUACCUGCCGUUGGCAGAUUUGAGCUUUCUUCUUGGACACCUAAUACCCACAGUCCUCCAGUAAAUCCCAAGCAAGGUACCUGCCGUCAGCAGAUUUGAGCUUUCUUCUUGGACACCUAAUACCCACAGUCCUCCAAUAACUCCCAAGUAAGGUACCUGCCGUCGGCAGAUUGGAGCUUUCUUCUUGGAGACCUAAUACCCACAGUCCUCCAGAAAAACAAACAAAGACAUGGAUUUACUGUGCAUAUUAGCAGAUCCAUACUGGAAAAUGCAUGGAGGUUUCAUAUACACCACUUACAGGUUUCCAAAGCCACAAUUUCCUUCAUAUGUUCAAACUCUUCAGGAUGCAGAAAGGCAGUGAACUCCUCCGGAGUAGCUGUCAGGUCACCAUUGAGGUCUGCAGCUUUGAAUCUUCUCUCAUCACGUGGCAGCAUCUUUUUAAAGGUGUGAUGAUCUGAAGAAUCAUGAAACUCUGCGGGGUUUCCUAGGUUUUCAGCUCCUCAGUAGUGACAAAGCCAUACCCAUCAUUGUCGAUUCGAUCAACAAUCUUCCCUAGCCUCUCCUUGCUCUCGUCCGGGGUGAGCUCGUCGAAGUUCUUGGAGUCCUCCUUGCCCAGGAAGGCCUCGUGGUCGUACUGGAAGCUCUGGUUGUCCUCAGGGGGCCGCUCGCCCAGCUCCGAGUCGGGCCGCACCACGCGCUCUUUGCGCACCGUGGGCUUGGCCCGCAGAACCCGCGGCGCCAGCACCAGCGCCAGCAGCAGCCCCAGGGCUAACCCCAGGCGGCCACCGCGCGCCAUCGUCCCGAGGAGAGGGCGGCCGGGAGGGAGACGCUGAGCGAGCGACAACAGCGGCAGCUCGGGAAUGGGGGCUCGGAGCGCGGCGGCCAAGUUUUAUGUUAUGUAUAUUUUACAAGUAAAAAAAUUUUUUCACCUCAGCCUGAACUGAACACUAGCUGACAGACGUUUUGAUUUCUUUGACCAUCACGGAAUCGUGGCCAAGCGCGGUGGCUCACAUCUGUAAUCCCAACACUUUGGGAGGUCAAGAUGGGCGGAUUGCUUGAAUCCAGGUGUUUGAGAUCAGCCUGGGCAACAUGACAAAACCCUGUUUCUAGUAAAAAUACAAAAAUUAACCAGG
rnacentral:lncRNA from 1 species